CCUACGGGAGGCAGCAGUGGGGAAUAUUGGGCAAUGGGCGCAAGCCUGACCCAGCAACGCCGCGUGAGGGAAGAAGGUACAGCGUAUCGUAAACUUCUUUUGUCGGGGAACAAAGGCGGAGACGCGUCUCCGGAUGAGUGUACCCGAAGAAAAAGCAUCGGCUAACUCCGUGCCAGCAGCCGCGGUAAUACGGAGGAUGCGAGCGUUAUCCGGAUUUAUUGGGUUUAAAGGGUGCGCAGGCGGGAGAUCAAGUCAGCGGUAAAAUGUCGAGGCUCAACCCCGGCCGGCCGUUGAAACUGGUUUUCUAGAGUUGGAGAGAAGUAUGCGGAAUUCGUGGUGUAGCGGUGAAAUGCAUAGAUAUCACGAAGAACUCCGAUUGCGAAGGCAGCAUACCGGCUCCAUACUGACGCUGAGGCACGAAAGCGUGGGGAUCGAACAGGAUUAGAUACCCCAGUAGUC
rnacentral:rRNA from 1 species